CCGAAACAAUUCAACAUACAGUGAAAGCAAUCGUCCUAAUAGCCACAUUAUCCAUUCGAGGCACAUUUCCAUUGACACGACUAUACUGCGAACUGAUUCAAGGAGUCGGCCGCGAACAAACGACUUGAGUCCUCGACCGUUCUCUUGCUACGUAUUUUACACGAGUGACGUCACGCGCAAAAGGAGGAAUGGAUGAUGUCUCGCGACUGCCACAAUCUCAUGCCGGUGCGUGAAUCCACGUACACGAUGGCGCGUAGCAUGCAUGUGCACGCGCGGACGAGUGCCGACAAUACGUCACGGCAGUAUUGCAGUCUAAAUCUCGGUACUUUUAUGGGGCAGUAAAGUAAAACGGUCUGACAACAACUCCGGUGGCACAUACGCGUUCCAUCUGUCCAUCAAACUCUCGCGCCACUAGAGCGCGCCACGCGCGAGACCAUGUGUCAAUUAAUUGACUAGGAAAUUACGAAAUUGUCUCAAUUGACUGCUAGCAAAUCUAUUAUAUCAAAGCUCGAACGGGUGAAACGUUUUCUCCACGGCGCCGUACACUUUGAGGCCUUUUAUUUACAAGUUUACAAAGAAAAACAUCAGCCUGGAACAGAAAGAAAGGGAAUGCUUAUCGACCUUGUAGGCAAAUUCAAUCAUGGGCGUGAAUUUUGAUUCGUCGUGGUGAACGUAAAUAUAGAAAUCGAGGCUGCAGGUAGGAAACGUGAAAAUGCUCUCUGGAAGUGUCGUCUACUGAAGUCAAAUCUCCAGGGAUGUGUUUAUGGCAAGCUGAACACCGUUUGAAACGGAAGAGGAAGUGUGUAAGAGAGAGACAAAUACUUUGGAAGAUAAAAUCACUCGUGGAAACAUCUAUGGUUGGUCACGAUUAUUCAACACACGUCUACACAAGGGAAACUCGACAAACAACCAUGAAACAAUCUCUUUUCCCAGAAGUCGGACAUCUUAUCCAAACGGCCGAUACACAAAUCCUGGCCAUUUAUCCGGCACAAAAGGUCCACCUUUCAGUUUCUUCUCUCCAGUUUGAUAAAUAGAACGCCUCGAGAACGAAAGAGAAGAUGAAAAUGGCAAAGCUGGACGAAAUGUGGGCAGGACGUGCCACGAGGGAUAUUAUCGUGGACGCAGAAGGGUGGUCAUGUGAAAAAUACAUUGGUGUGUGCAGAGGAGAUUGGUCGAGGGGUGACGAGAGACACACAGGACACGAGAAAGCUCUUGCGUAUCAGAGGGGUGGUUAUGCCAUUUCUAUGGAACCGUCCAUUUACCGUUUACACCGUCCAACAGAGACGUGAGCACGCAUCUUACUGUGUAAUCGAAUUAAAAGUUGCACGGCCAUUUUUGCUACACGACGAUUGUGAAAUGAGAGAAACGUUGAGUCGAUUUUGGAACAGGAU